rnacentral:ncRNA from 10 species
UAUAAGCAUCAAGAGCGAGAUUAAUUUCUCCUCCAACCUGCCAACUCCGGCAAGGUGGAAAAGUGAUGCGGUUAUUCAACAAUUAAAGGAGUAGAA